rnacentral:rRNA from 1 species
CCUACGGGCGGCUGCAGUGGGGAAUAUUGGACAAUGGGCGAAAGCCUGAUCCAGCCAUGCCGCGUGUGUGAAGAAGGCCUUCGGGUUGUAAAGCACUUUCAGUGGGGAAGAAAGCCUUGGGGCUAAUACCCUCGAGGAAGGACAUCACCCACAGAAGAAGCACCGGCUAACUCCGUGCCAGCAGCCGCGGUAAUACGGAGGGGUGCGAGCGUUAAUCGGAAUUACUGGGCGUAAAGCGCGCGUAGGCGGUCUGAUAAGCCGGUUGUGAAAGCCCCGGGCUCAACCUGGGAACGGCAUCCGGAACUGUCAGGCUAGAGUGCAGGAGAGGAAGGUAGAAUUCCCGGUGUAGCGGUGAAAUGCGUAGAGAUCGGGAGGAAUACCAGUGGCGAAGGCGGCCUUCUGGACUGACACUGACGCUGAGGUGCGAAAGCGUGGGUAGCAAACAGGAUUAGAUACCCGUGUAGUC